rnacentral:lncRNA from 1 species
CUUGCUGUUAGACACCGAUGGAGCCUAAUCAGAUUGCAUAUGCUGAAAAAUAGCAGGCCAAGCAUUAUAUUCGCUGCAGGAGACACAUCAAUAGCAGCUGUUCAAAAGCGUUACGGCAAAAUUCAACCUGCGGAUCCUUGGAGAGCGAUGUGCGUGUUGUGCGAUUUCACCAGGCACGCACCACCAAGUUAUUUUGACGAACAACAUGGAUUUCCUAUCAAUUUUGACCAUGGGGCUGCAGCUCAGGAAGUGUCCAUUAGUUUUGCAAGGCUAUACAGUCCUGGUGGGUUAUUUCUUUAAUUUGAUUAAGGAUUUACACAUUAAUACUAUUU